rnacentral:rRNA from 1 species
GACGAACCGUGCGAACGUUGUUCGGAUUCACUGGGCUUAAAGGGCGCGUAGGCGGGCGGUCAAGUCGGGGGUGAAAUCUUUCAGCUUAACUGGAAAAGUGCCUCCGAUACUGCUCGUCUUGAGGGAGGUAGGGGCAUGUGGAACUUCCGGUGGAGCGGUGAAAUGCGUAGAUAUCGGAAGGAACGCCGGUGGCGAAAGCGACGUGCUGGACCUCUUCUGACGCUGAGGCGCGAAAGCUAGGGGAGCAAACGGG